AGUUCGAUCAUGGCUCAGAUUGAACGCUGGCGGGAUGUUUACACAUGCAAGUCGAGCGGCACGGACUUCGGUCUGGUGGCGAGUGGCGAACGGGUGAGAAGGUAUCGGAGUCGUGCUCAGAAGUGGGGGAUAACUACGCGAAAGGUAGCUAAUACCGCAUACCCUUCGGGGGAAAGCGGGGACCUUCGGGCCUCGCACUAUUAGAGCGGCCGAUAUCGGAUUAGCUAGUUGGUGGGGUAACGGCUCACCAAGGCGACGAUCCGUAGCUGGUUUGAGAGGACGACCAGCCACACUGGGACUGAGACACGGCCCAGACUCCUGGCUGGAGGCAGUGGCGGGGAAUUUUGGACAAUGGGGAAACUCCUGAUCCAGCCAUCCUGGCGUGCGAUGAAGGCCUUCGGGUUGUAAAGCACUUUUGGCAGGAAAGAAACGGCACGGGAUAAUACCCCGUGCAACUGACGGUACCUGCAGAAUAAGCACCGGCUAACCACGUGCUGUUGCGUAAUACGUAGGGCAAGCGUUAAUCGGAAUUACUGGGCGGGCGGCGCGCGCAGGCGGUUCGGAAAGAAAGAUGUGAAAUCCCAGAGCUUAACUUUGGAACUGUAUUUUUAACUACCGAGCUAGAGUGUGUCAGAGGGAGGUGGACUCCGCGUGUAGCAGUGAAAUGCGUAGAUAUGCGGAGGAACACCGAUGGCGAAGGCAGCUCCAGGGGAUAUGACACUGACUGCCCAUGCACGAAAGCGUGGGGAGCAAACAGGAUUAGAUACCCUGGUAAACCACGCCCUAAACGAUGUCAAUUAGCGUUGGGCCUGGCCUGGUAGCGCAGCUAACGCGUGAAGUUGACCGCCUGGGAGCAUGGUCGCAAGAUUAAAACUCAAAGGAAUUGACGGGGACCGCACAAGCGGUGGAUGAUGUGGAUUAAUCUGAUGCAACGCGAAAAACCUUAACAUCUCUUUGACAUGUCUGGAAUCCCGAAGAGAUUUGGAGUUCGCAAGAGAACUGAACACAGGUGUUGCAUGGUUACGUCAGCUCGUGUCGGAGAUGCUGAAGUCCCGCAACGAGCGCAACCUUGUCAUUAGUUGCUACGAAAGGGCACUCUAAUGAGACUGCCGGUGACAAACCGGAGGAAGGUGGGGAUGACGUCAAGUCCUCAUGGCCCUUAUGGGUAGGGCUUCACACGUCAUACGAAUGGCCGGGACAGAGGUCGCCAACCCCGCGAGGGGGGAGCCAAUCCCAGAAACCCGAUCAACCGGAUCGCAGUCUGCAACUCGACUGCGCGUGAAGUCGGAAUCGCUAGUAAUCGCGAUCAGCAUGUCGCGGUGAAUACGUCUCUGGGUCUUGUACACACCGCCCGUCACACCAUGGGAGUGGGUUUUACCAGAAGUAGUUAGCCUAACCGUAAGGAGGGCGAUUACCACGGUAGGAUUCAUGACUGGGGUGAAGUCGUAACAAGGUAG
rnacentral:rRNA from 1 species